CAGACCUCAACGUGAUUGUCAAUAACGGUCAUCUGGGCUAAGGACGUAUGUUUUCCAACAGGGACUAGGGACAGUCUAAAAAUGUUUUAUUCUACGUUAUAAAGCCUGAGUGAAGAGCUCACUCCCGUGUUUGUCUGGUGCAUUGGGGUGGGGUGAGGAAGAAUACAAAAAACAAUCAGAAAGCCUCAAAACAGGUUAAAUAAAAUAAGAAAAAAAGUUGGCCGGCAAUGGGAAAACACUAAAGAACUGUAUAAUAAACAGUAUUAUUGAUGAAGGGGCUGCUCUGUCUGCAUGAAGAGCGAUGAAUAAAGCAGCCCUUGGAAAUCUGUUUGUCAAUGCGUUAAAAAGCAGAGGGGAAAAGAUAAAGCGCACACAACAAAUCAGGAGCCUCUUUUGUUUGCGCAGGUGGCAAAAUGUAACAGUAACUUUGUGCUGGCUCUCGGCGUACAGCACAACGGGAGAACAAAGAUACAAAGGCAAACUGCCAAAACCAGGCUCUUGCUGGCCAGCAGGAAAUCAUGCAACAGCCAGAGGGGGAUUAAAGGAGCAAAAUAGAGAAUUAAAGCAACAAAGAGAGGGGGUCCUUCUGUAUCCUAUCCCUCCCCUCCAGCGUAUCUAUAUCUGGUGAUAUACUGUGGAGCAGUUUGCGGGAUGGCUGGAGUGCCUUGUGGACAGGCUGGUGGAGCAGUUCGUAGGAUGGCGGGAGCUGCUGGUGGGCCACAGAGCAGAGCGGAGCUGAGCGAAGGAGGUCGUGGGGUGGCUGGUGGAGCGGAGCGAAGGCCUAUGGAGCUGUGGGGCGGUCAGCUUCAGAUCAUGUAAGGUGCCUCUUACCCCCACCCCCAUUUCCACCCAGGUUGGGAAGUAAAGCUCUGCAGAUAAACUUUCGAACUCUGGGGCUGCCUUGACCAGGACAAAGACUUUUGCGUCAUUGGACUUUGGGUGAUUUGGGGUUGCUGGACUCAAGAACCAAAGGGAAAGGACACGCCCCAAUUUGCUUGGGGUGGGUUUUUUGCUCACGGGUUGUGUUAUGAAUCCUGUUGGUGGUGUUUCCCCAACAUAAUGCCACAUUGUUUCUCUCUGUUAUUAGAAGGCUUUUUGCUACACUCAGACUCCAAGCUUACGAGAGGGGAAUAUUGCCUCUUGGAGGCGCCCAGCAGGGGUGGUAUAGAUUUGUCACAGGUCACUGGGUGGGGGCUUGAGCCGGUUUGCAUUGUGUUAUUGGAAUGGAUCCCCUAGAUAUUGAACCCGGCCCUUGUUGCUGCCAAUUCUGACGGGCAGAAGGGUUACACUAAAAAUAAAAGGGCUUACUUAAGUAUAGUAAAACUAAUAAUUUUAACUCUUUUUAAGUCCUAAGGUCAAGCAUGUAAUAUCCUUUUCAAGCAACAAAAUAUAAUAUGACUUUCAAGCAACAAAAUGGUCACUAUUGUUUUUUAAAUCCUCGCAUAACUAUUAAACCCUCGCCCCUUUUUCAAUAUAGCUGUAUUCAUAAGGUAAGAGCAAUGUAAAUUGCUGAACGUCAAUUCAACUAGUACAAUUAAAGUGGCAAAGGAAUUAAUAUAAAACGGAAUGAGCUUUGAUUGAAAGAUUUAAAUAAAGGGUCACCUGCCUCAUCAAUUAUUUAGUUUUUGGUUUGUUUUCUAACAUGCAUUGUUUUCAUUCAUUGUCCCGUAAGUGGAGCAGCAUUCGUCUUGUCCUAUACAUGUGUUAUGUGUUUGUGUGGGUCACAUCAUUAUUUUGCUGCUUCUUCUUGCAACAAUAUCAUCCGUAACCCUGUUUCACAAUUACCCUUCCUCUUCCGUGGGCGAGGGAAGCGGGCUCUGUUAUUGUCUAGCUACCCCCUGUCUGAUAAUAACUCGUCCUUGGCCAUGGGUACCUCAGAGGAGCGCUUGGAGCUGUCAAUAAGCUGGUGAAGCUACCAUAAGAGGCUGAUCUGAAAUGUCACCCAGCCAAGACACGUCUGCUCACUCAGUUUCCUUUGAGAAAUUACAUUGUCGAGAGACAAACAGACACCAGCUCAACAGCAGGGAGACCGACAUUUGCAUUCACCUUUGCCUGGCCGUGUAUCUGCCUUAAAAUCGAUUCUAGGCCUUACGGGCCACAGCAGAAAUGUUAGACCCGCCUCAGCCAAAGUGGUGCUGGACAUCGGACCUCUCAAAGGCAGUUGCUCUUAUGGAGAAAACCUGUAACUUCUGCCGCGGUUCUGGUCCCGCCAAACCUCUCCAUCAGGAGGUUACUACAAACAAAACCGAGCUAUGGUACGCUCGACUCAGCCCAGGACGCGACUCUCUGCUGUGGUGUGCGCACGGAAACGCUUCGCCUCGCCUCGUCUGCACUUGCUUUUCCUGUCUAACUCGACGGGGUUCUGUCCCACCCUGGCAGAAUUCCUCCCCUUCUGGAGGAAAACGAAGGAGAAAGAAGGAAAUGUCCCUCCAAGAAUUGAGUUUUUCAUU